GAUGAACGCUAGCUACAGGCUUAACACAUGCAAGUCGAGGGACCGGCGCACGGGUGAGUAACGCGUAUCCAACCUUCCCAUGACUAAGGGAUAACCUGCCGAAAGGCAGACUAAUACCUUAUGGUUAUGGAUGGGGUUGCGUCUGAUUAGUUAGUUGGCGGGGUAACGGCCCACCAAGGCAACGAUCAGUAGGGGUUCUGAGAGGAAGAUACCCCACAUUGGAACUGGGACACGGUCCAAACGCCUACGGGAGGAGGCAGUGAGGAGAAAUGGUCAAUGGGCGAGAGCCGGAACCAGCCAAGUAGCGUGCAGGAUGACGGCCUAUGGGUUGUAAACUGCUUUUGUAUGGGGAUAGGAACCAUACGAAAAAGGACCGGCUAAUUCCGUGCCAGCAGCCGCGGAAUAC
rnacentral:rRNA from 1 species